GAUGAACGCUGGCGGCGUGCUUAACACAUGCAAGUCGAACGGAAAGGCUCCUGCUUGCAGGGGUACUCGAGUGGCGAACGGGUGAGUAACACGUGGGUGAUCUGCCCUUCACUUCGGGAUAAGCUUGGGAAACUGGGUCUAAUACCGGAUAGGACCGCCUUUUGGAUGGUGUGGUGGAAAGUUUUUUCGGUGUGGGAUGAGCUCGCGGCCUAUCAGCUUGUUGGUGGGGUAAUGGCCUACCAAGGCGUUGACGGGUAGCCGGCCUGAGAGGGCGUACGGCCACAUUGGGACUGAGAUACGGCCCAGACUCCUACGGGGGGCAGCAGUGGGGAAUAUUGCACAAUGGGCGGAAGCCUGAUGCAGCGACGCCGCGUGGGGGAUGACGGCCUUCGGGUUGUAAACCGCUUUCGCUAGGGACGAAGAGUAAUUGACGGUAACUGGAGAAGAAGCACCGGCUAACUACGUG
rnacentral:rRNA from 1 species